rnacentral:lncRNA from 1 species
UGCUCUCUGCUACAUAGUUCAUUACAAAAAGCUAAAAAAUUAGCCAGGUGUGGUGGCAUAUACCUGUCCCACCUACUCGGGAGGCUGAGGUGGGAAGAUCACUUGAGUCUGGGAGGCGGAGGUUGCAGUGGGCCAAGAUCACACCACUGCACUCAAGCCUGGGUGACAGGGUGAUACCCUGUCUCAAAAACAAACAAACAAACAAAAAAACCCCCAAACUGCCAUUGUCACUUUGAGCAGAAAAUAGCACUAGCCAAAUACAAAGUAUCAAAGACUAACUCUUACUUACAUAAAAUUGUAGUUAUCUUUUCCUCUCCCUUCCCAGCCUGAGCAACAACUACAUUACUCCACUUGACUUUCUCAGUGAAGUACAGUUUUAAUAUUUACCUGGAAAGAAUCCAUGCAGACUGGACUGGAAGCCAGCUCCUCAUCUACCGCAU